CACCUCAUCAACCGGAAGGGAUUCCUUCCGGUUGAUGAGGUUCAAUCGGAAGGAAUCCCUUCCGGUCCUCAUCGAUCAGAAGGGAUUCCUUCCGAUCGAUGAGGUG
rnacentral:miRNA from 1 species